CAACCCUGGUGACAGCACUGAGCCUUCCCUGGGUGGCAGCAGUGUGGUGUUCAGGUGCUUUGCAGCACCAGAAGCCAACUCCCAGCCUCCACAGCUGCUGCCAGUGCAUCUCCCAGCACUUUUGGGUUUCCCUGAGCCCUCUGGGGUUUCGAAGGCAUCUCCAGGAGCUGUUGGGUGACUCACCAGAUGGAUGUGAACACAGCACAGACCCUCAAAUGCUCUCACCUAGUACCUGAACAACAGCCCUUCAGUAACUGCUGCUCAUCUCCCCCGCCUGGAUCUCAGGAAAACAGACUCAGCUCCAGCCCUGGUUACCUGGAGAUGCUGAAAGCAGAUUCAGAUGCAAGGUGUAUUGAACCCAGACACAAGUUCACCCCAAAUUUGGCAAGUUAG
rnacentral:lncRNA from 1 species